UCUAGAGAUAAAGGACCACAUAAAUAUCUGGAUCGUCCACCGAAGGUCAAAGAAGAAUUUAAUGCAAGGACGGUGAGUGUGUCGGCUGAGAAGUCACCUCUCAUCCGUGCCCUUCUUGCGUGCUCCAUUGAAUGGCCUCCUCGAGAUCAGCUUCGUGGCAGAAACUCGACUUGGACUUUUUCUUUUGGGUGACACCUCCAAAGGAAAGACUUGCAGGCAGUUCUUCGAGUUUGCUCCAUUGGAUGGCCUCCUUGAGCUCAGCUUGGUGACAGAAACUGGACUUAGGCUUUCCUUUUGGGUGACACCUCCAAAGGAAGACUUUGCAGUCCUCCUUGUUUGCUCCAUUGAAUGGUCUCCUCGAGCUCAGCUUGGUGGUAGAAACUGGACUUUGGACUUUUCUUUCGGGUAACACCUCCAAAAGAAGGCUUGUGGUGGGUGACGAAGUCAACAUAAUGUGACGUGACCCGGUCAUCUUCCAUGCGAUGCGCGGGACCCGCUCAAGAUCUCAUGGACCCUCCCAUCACCUUGUAGUUCUGUCACAUGAAAGAGAACAUACAGUAUUAGCAUCGGAAGUAGGAUUCGAGUGCAUGAGCUCAACUGUGGAUGGUUUGGAGCUGAUAACCAACCUUCUUCUUGCACCAAGAGAGGGAGAACGUGUCGCUAAU
rnacentral:lncRNA from 1 species